GUUGGUCCAUUUGGAGGUGUAGCCCCAAACGUGCUUGAGGGGAUCCCAGAAGUGGCUCCUGGGUGGAUAACCCACGAUUCGCUCCGGAAAACUCCGCCACACCAGGAAGGCAAAGUUCACCUGCAGUACUUGGACUUGGAGAUGACCUGCAGCAGCUUCAUGAUUGGCUGAGACUGGAAGACCAGUGGAGAAACGGCAUGUAUAACAGCAGUGAACUCUUGACCUGGACUCACCCCUGAAAAGCAUUGGGGAGACGUCCACAUGCAGCAGCAGCACCCCCCCCUCCACCAUGGAUUCUCUGUAAAGCUUCACUGCCCUCAGGCUGACAGACUGCACAGCUGGCCCUGGUGGUGAGAGGGCCCCCUCCUCUGCAUGCUGCCCGUUUGACUGUGUAUAUGAACUGGAAGUGACUCAGAUGCGACUCGUUCCUGGACGUCGGUUCUUCUGCAGCUGGUUCAUCUAAGAGGCAGAAACGAAUGCAAAUCCCUGAAAAUGUCCCCUCCACGUAAAAGACUGUCGACUAAAGAGAGGCGAGGAUAAGACUCAAAGAUGCAGGUCAUCCUUCUGUACGACCCCAGUCGAUGGACCCCCGACAGAUAUGGCUGCACCAGCAGCAUAAACAUGAGGAACCAUGUAGCUGUUUGGAAACCUCAGACGCCGGCUUCAGGAGGUCUGGAUAUUUGCAUAAA